rfam:Culex pipiens quinquefasciatus supercont3.146 genomic scaffold, whole genome shotgun sequence.
GCAGGCGUGGUUGAAUGGUUACGCUCUCCGCUUUGUAAGCGGAUGAUCAUAGGUUCGAUUCCCAUCUGCUCCA